rnacentral:tRNA from 1 species
AGGGAUAUAGUUAAUUAUAACAUUUGAUUUGCAUUCAAAAAGUAUUGUCUUUACAAUUUUCCUUA